rnacentral:rRNA from 1 species
GACGAACGCUGGCGGCGUGCUUAACACAUGCAAGUCGAACGGAAAGGCCCUGCUUUUGUGGGGUUCUCGAGUGGCGAACGGGUGAGUAACACGUGAGUAACCUGCCCUUUACUUUGGGAUAACUUCAGGAAACUGGGGCUAAUACCGGAUAGGAGCUCCUGCUGCAUGGUGGGGGUUGGUAAGUUUCGGCGGUUGGGGAUGGACUCCCGGCUUAUCAGCUUGUUUGUGGGGUAGUGGCUUACCAAGGCUUUGACGGGUAGCCGGCAUGAGAGGGUGACCGGCGACAUUGGGACUGAGAUACGGCGCAGAGUGCAACGGGAGGCAGCAGUGGGGAAUAUUGCACAAUGGGCGGAAGCCUGAUGCAGAAACGCCGCGUGCGGGAUGACGGCCUUCGGGUUGUAAAACGCUUUCGCAUGUGACGAAGCGUGAGUGACGGUAAUGGGUAAAGAAGCACCGGCUAACUACGUG